UUUUUUUUUUUUUUAUUCAUAAGAGACAGAGAGGGAGGCAGAGGGAGAAGCAAAGUCCUCAAAGAGCAUGGGGCUCUACGCGAGACUCGAUCUCAGGACCCUGGAAUCACAACCUGCGCCAAAAGCACAAGCUUAACCAACUGAGCCACCCAGGCAUUCAGAGAACUUUUAUGCUUUUUUUCCUCUACUUUUGUGUCUGCUUUAGAUUUUUCACAAUAAAAAGUUUUUUUAAAUGUCGACGGAAUAGUGUGGGCAGCUACUAAUAAAUAUAUUUUUCAGAUAGGAAAGCAUCAUCCAAGAGAAAUCCAACAGAAUGACAACUUUUAAGGCAGUAGAAUUUUUCCACAGUACUUUCUAUCUUGUUCAACUGUGAAAUAUCACUGACUUUGGAGUUACUUCCCCUCCUCUGGACACCUCAUGUUCUCCUUUCUGUUAACAACGUUUGCUACUACAUGAAUACUAAAAAUGGGUCAGGAAUCAUGGUGAAAAUUUUUUCAGAUCUCAAUAGUCUAAAUGCUAUUUAUCAUAAUUUUUAAAACUAUAUUCUCCAAUUUAUUUUUAAUAAAUAAUAAAAGCCUAUUAUUUAAUUCAGAUUUUUAAAAUAAGUCCAUAUUCCCAUAAGUUAUAGAUGGAAAUAAGAAUUUAUUUGUAUAACAGGCAAGAAGUAGCAUCCCAAAAACUGACCCUACCAUGCAACAUUCUGUAACAUGUUCCUUGUUGCCACAGCUGGGAGCAAAGUUCAAAAGGACCAUUAAGAUGAGAUAGGAUGAUGUAGAUCUUGUGCUAUUUCAGUUUAUGUGUUUUCUCCUGCUAUAGAUUUGAGAUGGCACGCAGUACAGAAAUAUGUUACUAUGGAAGAUGAAACCUCUUGCUUUUGAAAAUCUCUCAUGACUUUCAAACUUGAUAUAAGACUUCUGCUCACUUAUGGCAGUUUGUAGUCUGCCCUGGCCCAGAGUCUGGUUGGUCUGUUUUAGAGGUGAGCAUGCCGUGGGUGAGAGGCAAACACAAUGGGAUUUGAAGCCAUCAGGCCUGUUUGAUUCUAAUACAGCCUCAUAGUCCUUAUUCAUCUCUGAAUUCCUGGCUCCAUGACCCAUCCUCCAUCCUGGCCUGUACCACCAUAGGUCUUGACAUUUAUAAGCUUUUCCUACCCUUUGUACUUUCAAUUUAUCCCUAAAGACAUUGAUUUAUCAUGUUUUCAGUUAAUCCCCUCUACCUUAACCUUGGUUCCAAUGAAUUCUGCAUGUCCCCCUCCCAGGUUUUUAGAUUUCCUACCUCCUUGCCUCUCCUCCAGCCACUUAAACUACAACCCCAAAUAGCUCGACAGGGGUAUCUGAUGCCUCUAGGGCUUUGGAGUUGUGAUAUCACUACCAGCCCUGAAUUUGAUUCUCACAACCUGUCAUUUUGACAAAGACUUAUAAAAUAAAUGCUCAUAAUAUGUAUCCCCUGGGGUGUUUUUAUUAACCCCUGGUCAGAGGAAAGGAUGUGGGUUUCAUUUACGGUUACAGGGACAAUGAAGCACCUUUAGCCUUCGGUGCAUUUCGAAAAUGCAGCUUUCCUCAUAUCCACUCAGUGAAGAAAAUGAAUAAAACGUAAACUUGAAGCUAAAAUCAAAAGCCUCAUUUAAAUCAGUAUUUUCUCAUUUCACCCUAACUCAAUCUUAUACUAGAAAAAUUGACAAGAUUAAAAGAAAAAUCAAAACUUUAAUUUGAACUUAUUUUCCCUCGGUUUGCAUCCAAACAUUGUGUAACUUAAAACAUUUUAUUUUCAAUGACUCACCUAUUCCAUGAAGCUUCUUUUUCCUGUGGACUACUCUAUUCAAUUCAACCAACACUUGCCAGGCAUCAGUUAUGUUCAAAAUACUAAACAUAUAAAUAUGUCAUAAUAAUCAUAGCUGACAAUUACUGAGUGCAUAGUCCCCAUUAGGCACAGCGAUUAUCAUGUAUUAUUUUAAAAUAUUUUAUUUAUUUAUUUGAAAGAGAGAGCACAGAGGGAGAAAGAACAUGAGUGGGGAGCAGGGGAGGGGGAUGGGGUAGAGGGAGAGAGAGAGGGAGAAGCAGACUCCCCACUGAGCAGAGACCCCCAUCACAGGACUGGAUCCCAGGACUCUGGGGCCCUGACCUGAGCCGAAGGCAGACAUUUCACCCACUGAACCACCCAGGCAACCCGUCAUGUAUUAUUUAACCCUGACAGCAACACUAUGAGGUAGAGGGACUAUUAUUUUUCAACUGGUAAACUGAAAAUUUAUGCUUGGGUUAAAAACCUUAGAGACAGGAGUUUGGAAAUAUUCUAAAGUGUUAUCAAAAAAUGAGUUACUGGGAUCGAGUCCCAUGUGGGGCUCCCUGCAUGGAGCCUGCUUCUCCCUCUGCUUGUGUCUCUGCCUCUCUCUCUCCCUGUGUCUUCCAUGAAUAAAUAAAAUCUUUAAAAAAAGUGAAUUACAUUUCUAAACUAAAAAAUAACAUGAGGAACACAUAUAGGAAACACCUGGGUGGCUCAUUCGGUUGUGUCUGCCUUUGGUUCAGGUCAUUAUCCUGGGGUCCUGGGAUUGAGCCCUGUGGUGGGCUCUCUGCUCAGCAGGAAGCCUGCUUUUCUUUCUACCCCCUCUCUCCUGUUCUGCUGUAUCUCACUAUCUCUCUCUCUCAAAUAAAAAAAAAUAAAAUCUUAAAAAACAAAAAAGAAACACACAUAGGCAAAUACAUAAUCUUGAAGGCAAGUGUGCAGAAGACCAUCUCUCACUUACUCAGAGUUUGAGUUCGCCAUGUCCUUGCCAUGGAUGUCCUGUUAUAAGAGUUUCAUUGUUUGUUAGCACUUCUCUCAGAAGCUGGAAAGGUGUAGGGGGAGAGGAGAAAGAAGACAACAAUCCAAUUUAAAGUUUUUCAGCUGCUAGACACUCUGGUAAGAAGUCAGUUAGAUGAUAAUCAGAAAUGACAGAUUUGGCCAAGACUUUGAAUUCACCAUAAUCUCCAAGACCCAGAUUUACAUAUCAAAUUUGGACAUUGAACUAGAAAGCAUUCACUUUUGGCCACUUAUAAAAGCCAAGGGCUUUCUCUACAUUAUCCCAUUUAGUAAUUACAACUAUAUGACAUAGUAGGUUUUCAUAUUUCUGUUUCAUAGAUAAGGAAACCAAGCCUCACAAAGAUAAAGUGAUGCAUUCAAGAUACUAAAAUUGUGAUGUCUUGGGAGAGAUGCAGCAGGGAAAAAUUGAGUUUUGCGGUUAGGUAGGUGCAAGUUCAAAUUAGAGCUCUGAUACGUUCCUGCUAUGUAACCUUGAACCAGUUAACUUGUCUGAACUUCUGUUUCCUUGCUAUAAAGUGGAAAUAAUAAUGCCUAAUACAUAGACUGACUAUAAUAAUUAAAUAAGGUAACAUAUGUGCAGUAGAUGGGAGUUCUUCAAUGAUAGUUCGAAAUGAUAGCACAGAUGAUAGUUCUUCAAAUUCCUACCCAGUGUGACUACUGUAAUAGAGGGAAAACCCAGGUCUGCUUCAGUUGGGCCAAGACUCUCCCUCAAAGGGCAAUCACCAUACCCUAGAAUAAAAAUGUAGAGAA
rnacentral:lncRNA from 1 species